rnacentral:misc_RNA from 1 species
AAUUAGUCCACUAACUCUUGUAAUCUUAACAUUUUGAAGCAAAAUGAUAUCUCCAGCAACCAAUGUGGAUGCCAAUUGCUUGUUCCAUAUUGUAACAGGAAAAAAAGGACGAGUAUCGUCAGCCACCUGUAUGUCGGUCCUUAUGACCUCUGCUCCACCUUUUCCCCAUAGCUUGUACUGAAUUGGGGUGAUAUUGUGAACAAAAACGAGGAGUUGAACGUACUCGUCGAUGUGAGCUGCUGCUUUAGAGAGAUCGAUUAGAGG